GGCCCUUCACUUGAGCCAUUUAAUCCUGAGCCCUGAGUUACAUGCUGGUUUGGAUCUAAAAGAAAGAGGAUGCCUCAUUACACAGGAUGGCCAAGUGACGCUGACAUUUUGACUGUUCAUUGGGACCAAUAAACCCUAAAUUUUAAACUAUGUAAAUACCAUGUUUCUGAGA